GUUUGCCUUAAAGACUGUCAGUGAUGUUAAGUUGGGGGAGGGGCUUAUGACCAUUGUCAGUGUGAAAUCCACACAACGUCCCUUUUCUUAAAUUUUGAUCAGAUUCUGUUGGUCAUCUUUUGUGUUUUGGAACCAAACAAACUGCAGGUCAUCAUUGUGCUGCGGCUGAUGAACAGCAGCCUUCCACAGACUUUAUGAAAAUGCUGGUCAUCUUUGGAAUCCUGGUCAUGUCCACACAAGUGUCCACAGGUUUGCUGCCCAUGAACCCUGUUUGUAGAGUUACUCAGAGUGAUCCAUGUUAUGGAGCUGUGGGACGACCGCUGUACCUGCAGCUGCCAUCUGAGGAUGAAAUCAUCUUGAAGAGGAGCAACAGUGGAACUAAAACUACUAAUGGCAUUUUCAUGUUUAGAAAACAAACAAAAAAACAUUCAGAUUAUCCAAGAUGGCAGUUUGUUACUGAUAACAACACCAUGAUAAUCAGCAGUGCAGAGAAAAGAGACUCAGGGAAAUACACUUUAGAUACAUUUGAUUCAGCAGGGACAUCAACAGGCAUUUAUCACCUCCAGCUGGUUAUUGAAGAUGUGGUGUCCUCAGUGACUGUGACAGACAGCUGCUUAUCUAUUGAGAAGAGGAAAGUUUACUGUUCGUCUGAUGGAGAUAAUGUGCACUAUAACUGGACUCUCCAACAUACACAUCAACUGGCUGAUGGGAACCAGACUCUCCUGCUGGACAAAGAAGCUGUUGGACGUGUGACCUGCUAUGCUCAAAAUCACGUUAGUCGUGGACACAAAGCUAUUGAACUACAACAGUGUCCUGACACUUCCGGUGUGUUUUUGGUUGUGUGGUUUUUGGAGAUUUUUAUUCUGCUGUCAUUGUUGGGAGGUUUUCACAUCUACGGCAGAAUCCAAAGAAAACAGACCAGCAGAGCAGCAGAAAUGAAGGUACAGGAGGUGGAGGAGGGUCUGUACACCAACCUGAAUUGAGAACACAGACAUCAUCAUCAUCAUCAUCAGGAGAGGAGAUAAACUGUCAGACUCUCCACCUCAUACAACCUGAACCAUCAAGCACAUUUCAUGAGCACAGAUUCAGAUUGUUCAGAUUUAGGAUUGUGGUGAAUUUAAUGGACCAUGAAAACUCUCCAGUCUGAGUAGCAAUUUUGUUUGGCCUCAUGAAUGGACUUUUAAGUGUGUCCCUUACAAAGGACGGGUGAGGUUACAAUUCCAUAGUAAGUGCAUGCUGUACUAGUGUGAAGGUUUUUAUAGAGCAGUAUUUCUCACAGUGUUGCUUUGUUUCUUUUGUCCGUCUCUCAUGACCACCUUGCAAUGUAUUUCAAUGUACAGAUCUCUCAGUAUUUACCUGCUAUUAGUCAUCCUCGAUUUUCUCCUUCACGUUUAGACUUUAUAACUGGCAUAUUUAGAAUAGUAAUACUAGAUUAAUACAGAGUUUUUCAGCUUACCAGACACAAAAAUUUAUUUUGGUUAUGUAUGCUCUUGCCUUAAUGACAGUGUUAACAUUUUAAAAUAAAAGUAUCUGUUAACAGUACUUAGAGCAGGGGUCUCAAACUCAAUUUACCCGGGGUCCGCUGGAGGUAGAGUCUGGGUGAGGCUGGGCCGCAUCAGGUUUUCCACAAGAAAAGCUCUUACAAAAACAUUCCAAUGUUAUCAAAUGUCUUUAUUUUUAUUUUUUAACACAAAAUAAGAUGAAAAAAUAAAUAAAUUAACAAUUCAUAAAAAAAUAAAAUAAAAUCAAU
ensembl:lncRNA